GUACGGGAUAUUAAGGGCAGGCGGUCAUCACUGGGGGAAGACAAGAAGCAGACGUACUUCCAAGAGUGAGCUGCAGUGAGGACACAGCCUGGUCACUGAGGUCAGAGGAGGCGCUGGAAGGUUUCCCUAAUAGUUCCUGGUGAAUCAAAGCAGAACCAUAAAGGUUGCUGGACUGCAUGAUGGCCUUACCCCUGAGCAGUCAUCCUGUUAAAGGAGGAACCAGUUAGAAGCUGUUUUCAAAGUAGCUGAGCAGAUUUCAUCUCAACAGACAAAGCUGAUGUCAGAAGAUGUCGGAGAAGAACUUCAGGCCAUGUACUGAAAAGGUAUUUUUUUCUUGUUAUCAAAAGACAUUUGGAGUGACGGCUUCUACAACUGGUUGUGCUGAAGUAAAGCUUACAGUCUAAGAAACCACAGUGUUGAUAUUCAGCACAAAGAGAAAAGCUCACUUGUUUGAAUUUAUUUACAAUCAUAGUUUUAUAAAUUCUGACUGUAAACAUCUUUUACAGCUUUGAUAUUGUUUGACACUAGAUAUCAGGUUUAAUUUAAAGGUUUCUGUGUCCCAGUGAGCCAUUUACACUGAUCAGUGUCAGUUUAACUGUAACACAUUCAUUAUUUAGUUCCAACAUUUCUAAGAGAAAUAACUGAAUGUAAAAAAUGGCAGUACUCAGGCCAGGUUUAAUUGAUAGAGAUAUAUGCAUGCAUUAUGAAAUUUAUGUAUCCCAGAUAAUUGUUAUUCAUCUAGUCAUGGCAGACCCAACCCUUCCUCCCAAGUUAACUGCAACCCAAAAAAACUAGUGGGGCUAUUUACACACUCACAAGCAGUGUGGGGUAAAAAGAGCCACCAAAAAGCUGUCAGCCUGCACAGCUACAGAUGUGCUAAAAGCUAUAAGAGUUAAAAGCUCUGCUUAUGGAGAAACUUUCUAAGCCUAACAGGGGACAGGUACUCCUGCCCAAAUAACAUGAUAUAACCCCACAUACAGCCCAGCCAUAAAGUGAACCAAGUCAUUUAGUUAAAGACAGCAUGGGA